UGUUGCUCAUAGGUAAACAGCUCCAGAUCUCUGAUGAACCUUUCUACCCUUUCCUGAAACUCUUCUAUUCCAAGACCAACUUUUUGAGAUGAUAGCACUGAUGUGCAAGCACGCCACAAGUUCUACAACUAUUCCUUUGACGUUCUGUUCCAUAAGUGAAGUUGAAGGGAAGAAAUUCAGUCCCCUCCUUCUGUCUGACUCAUCAUGGUGGAGAAGUUCUGACACCAGAGUCCAGCCCCCCGGAAACGAAGCGCUGUCGCAGAUGCAGUCUGCCUUUAAAAGAAUGGCUUUGAAAACAAAACAGAAGGAACCAUUUUAUUGUUACACAAAACUUCAGUACACUCACUUAUCAGCUGAGAAGCUCUGGUCUUGGCCUCUUCAGAAGACAGCGGUGAAGACCUGGCCUGGUGAAGUUGUUAUGAGCUACAAAGGUACAGAAAGUCAAAGAGAGGCUGGGAACCUGCUGCAGGGCUUAGAAUCAUAGAAUCAUGGAAUCCUUAAGGUUGGAAAAGAACACUAUGAUCAUAUAGUCCAACUAUCAACUCAUCACCACCGUUAUCUAGAUGAGCAUCUUGCCAGGGAUGGAACAGGGCUGGCCAGCUCAGAUCUA
ensembl:lncRNA